AUACGGAGGAUGCAAGCGUUAUCCGGAUUUAUUGGGUUUAAAGGGUGCGUAGGCGGUUUGCUAAGCGGGAGGUGAAAUGCCGGCGCUCAACGUCGGAAGUGCCACCCGAACUGGUGGACUUGAAUGACUCUGCCGUGGGAGGAAUGGGUAGUGUAGCGGUGAAAUGCUUAGAGAUUACACAGAACACCGAUUGCGAAGGCAUCUCACGAAGGGUUGAUUGACGCUGAGGCACGAAAGCGUGGGGAUCAAACAGGAUUAGAUACCCUGGUAGUCCACGCAGUAAACGAUGAUGGCUAACCGCUGGGCUUAUCAGUUCAGUGGCCAAGCGAAAGCGAUAAGCCAUCCACCUGGGGAGUACGACCGCAAGGUUGAAACUCAAAUGAAUUGACGGGG
rnacentral:rRNA from 1 species